rnacentral:tRNA from 1 species
GAGGGUAUAGCUCAGUGGUAGAGCAUAUGCUUAGAAUGAGUGAGGUCCUGAGUUCAAUCCCCAGUACCUUCC